rnacentral:rRNA from 1 species
AUUGAACGCUGGCGGCAGGCCUAACACAUGCAAGUCGAGCGAGCGGAGGACGGGGGAGUAAUGUCUGGGAAACUGCCUGAUGGCGGGGGAUAACUACUGGAAACGGUAGCUAAUACCGCAUACCAUCAGAUGUGCCCAGAUGGGAUUAGCUGGUCGGUGGGGUAACGGCUCACCAAGGCGACGAUCCCUAGCUGGUCUGAGCGGAUGACCAGCCACACUGGAACUGAGACACGGUCCAGACUCCUACGGGAGGCAGCAGUGGGGAAUAUUGCACAAUGGGCGCAAGCCUGAUGCAGCCAUGCCGCGUGUGUGAAGAAGGCCUUCGGGUUGUAAAGCACUUUCAGCGGGGAGGCGUUACCCGAAGAGGAAGCACCGGCUAACUCCGUGCCAGCAGCCGCGGUAAUUC